rnacentral:tRNA from 1 species
GGGCGCAUAGCUCAGUCGGUAGAGCAGCUGGCUUUUAACCAGCGGGUCGUAGGUUCGAGUCCUACUGCGCUCA